rnacentral:rRNA from 1 species
ACCCGCUGAACUUAAGCAUAUCAAUAAGCGGAGGAAAAGAAACCAACAGGGAUUGCCUUAGUAACGGCGAGUGAAGCGGCAAAAGCUCAAAUUUGAAAUCGGCCUCCAGGUCGAGUUGUAAUUUGUAGAUUGUAUCUUGAGAGCGGAUUAAAGUCUGUUGGAACACAGCGCCUUAGAGGGUGACAGCCCCGUAAAAUCUAUUCUCAUUGUAAGAUACUUUCGAAGAGUCGAGUUGUUUGGGAAUGCAGCUCUAAGUGGGAGGUAAAUUCCUUCUAAAGCUAAAUAUUGACGAGAGACCGAUAGCGAACAAGUACUGUGAAGGAAAGAUGAAAAGCACUUUGAAAAGAGAGUGAAAAAGUACGUGAAAUUGUUAAAAGGGAAGGGUAUUGAAUCAGACUUGGUGCUGUUGUUCAACUGUGUUUCGGCACAGUGUACUCAGCAGUACUAGGCCAAGGUGGGGUGUUUGGGAGUGAAAAAGAAGUUGGAACGUAACUCUUCGGAGUGUUAUAGCCUACUUUCAUAGCUCCUCAGGCGCCUCAGGACUGCGCUUCGGCAAGGACCUUGGCAUAAUGAUUCUAUACCGCCCGUCUUGAAACACGGACCAAGGAG